rnacentral:rRNA from 1 species
AGUGAACGCUGGCGGUAGGCCUAACACAUGCAAGUCGAACGGCAGCACAGUAAGAGCUUGCUCUUACGGGUGGCGAGUGGCGGACGGGUGAGGCAUACAUCGGAAUCUACUUUUUCGUGGGGGAUAACGUAGGGAAACUUACGCUAAUACCGCAUACGACCUACGGGUGAAAGCAGGGGAUCUUCGGACCUUGCGCGAUUGAAUGAGCCGAUGUCGGAUUAGCUAGUUGGCGGGGUAAGGGCCCACCAAGGCGACGAUCCGUAGCUGGUCUGAGAGGAUGAUCAGCCACACUGGAACUGAGAAACGGCCCAGACCCCUACGGGAGGCAGCAGUGGGGAAUAUUGGACAAUGGGCGCAAGCCUGAUCCAGCCAUACCGCGUGGGUGAAGAAGGCCUUCGGGUUGUAAAGCCCUUUUUUAGGGAAAGAAAAGCAGCAGGUUAAUACCCCGCUGUUCUGACGGUACCCAAAGAAUAAGCACCGGCUAACUUCGU